rnacentral:rRNA from 1 species
AGCUACAGGCUUAACACAUGCAAGUCGAGGGGCAGCAUGAACUUAGCUUGCUAAGUUUGAUGGCGACCGGCGCACGGGUGAGUAACGCGUAUCCAACCUUCCGUACACUCAGGAAUAGCCUUUCGAAAGAAAGAUUAAUACCUGAUGGUAUGAUGAGAUUGCAUGAAAUCAUCAUUAAAGAUUCAUCGGUGUACGAUGGGGAUGCGUUCCAUUAGAUAGUAGGCGGGGUAACGGCCCACCUAGUCAACGAUGGAUAGGGGUUCUGAGAGGAAGGUCCCCCACAUUGGAACUGAGACACGGUCCAAACUCCUACGGGAGGCAGCAGUGAGGAAUAUUGGUCAAUGGGCGCGAGCCUGAACCAGCCAAGUAGCGUGAAGGAUGAAGGUCCUACGGAUUGUAAACUUCUUUUAUAAGGGAAUAAAGUCACCUACGUGUAGGUGUUUGUAUGUACCUUAUGAAUAAGCAUCGGCUAACUCCGUGCCAGCAGCCGCGGUAAUACGGAGGAUGCGAGCGUUAUCCGGAUUUAUUGGGUUUAAAGGGAGCGUAGACGGGUCGUUAAGUCAGCUGUGAAAGUUUGAGGCUCAACCUUAAAAUUGCAGUUGAUACUGGCGUCCUUGAGUACGGUUGAGGCAGGCGGAAUUCGUGGUGUAGCGGUGAAAUGCAUAGAUAUCACGAAGAACUCCGAUUG